rnacentral:rRNA from 1 species
CACGCUGUAAACGUUGUAUACUGGGUGUUGGUGGUUCAACCAUUAGUGCCGACGUUAACGCAUUAAGUAUACCGCCUGGGGAGUACGCCCGCAAGGGUGAAACUCAAAGAAAUUGACGGGGGCCCGCACAAGCGGUGGAGCAUGUGGUUUAAUUCGAUGAUACGCGAAGAACCUUACCUGGGCUUGAACUGUGCUUGACAGGUGUAGAGAUACACCUUCCUUCGGGCAGGUACAGAGGUGCUGCAUGGUUGUCGUCAGCUCGUGUCGUGAGAUGUUGGGUUAAGUCCCGCAACGAGCGCAACCCUUACUCCUUGUUGCUAUCAGGUAAUGCUGAGCACUCUAGGGGAACUGCCGGUGAUAAACCG